rnacentral:pre_miRNA from 2 species
CAUUUACUCCCUUCGUCCGGAAAUAUUUGUUAUAGAAAUGAAUGUAUCUAGAUGUAUUUUAGUUUUAGAUACAUCUAUUUUUAUCAAUUUGUGUGACAAGUAAUUUCAGACGCAGGGGUUACAUC